CUUGCUUCCGUUCGGUUAGCGGCGGACGGGUGAGUAACACGUGGGCAACCUGCCCGUAAGACCGGGAUAACUUCGGGAAACCGGAGCUAAUACCGGAUAACACCGAAGACCGCAUGGUCUUUGGUUGAAAGACGGCUUUGGCUGUCACUUACGGAUGGGCCCGCGGCGCAUUAGCUAGUUGGUGAGGUAACGGCUCACCAAGGCGACGAUGCGUAGCCGACCUGAGAGGGUGAUCGGCCACACUGGGACUGAGACCCGGCCCAGACUCCUACGGGAGGCAGCAGUAGGGAAUCUUCCGCAACGGACGAAAGUCUGACGGAGCAACGCCGCGUGAGCGAAGAAGGUCUUCGGAUUGUAAAGCUCUGUUGUUGGGGAAGAAC
rnacentral:rRNA from 1 species